rnacentral:other from 19 species
GAUUUCCUGAGGUGUUCGUCAGCGGGUUACGUCCCUGAGCCGAUACUUACAUACUCUAGAAUUGGUUCUCUAUAGUUGGUGAGCAUGCUUGCCCUGACCUUCGAGGUCCUGAUGCAAGAAGCCUAAAAACAGUUACGACCGAUUCCCUUGAACCGUCGGGUUCAAGGACCGACCACCCACAACGGCAUCUCGGGGUCUUC